GGCGNGUGAGAGGANGAGCUCAAAGUUGGAACCUGUUUGGCCUAGCUAAACCNNNNUNNNNACUGUAGAAGUGUUUUCCAGGCAAGCCGAGUAAAUAAGUCCUUUGGAACAGGGCAUCAUAGAGGGUGAGAAUCCCGUCUUUGGCUUGAGCAUUUGCCUUUUGUGAUACGCUUUCAAAGAGUCAGGUUGUUUGGGAAUGCAGCCUAAAUUGGGUGGUAAAUCUCACCUAAAGCUAAAUAUUGGCGAGAAACCGAUAGCGAACAAGUACCGUGAGGGAAAGAUGAAAAGAACUUUGAAAAGAGAGUUAAACAGUAUGUGAAAUUGUUAAAAGGGAACCGUUUGGAGCCAGACUGGCUUGUCUGUAAUCAAUCUAGGCUUCGGCCUGGAUGCACUUGCAGGCUAUGCCUGCCAACGACAAUUUGACUUGAGGGAAAAAACUAAGGGAAAUGUGGCCCACUUGUGGGUGUUAUAGUCCCUUANAAAAUACCUUGGGUUGGAUUGAGGAACGCANCGAAUGCUUUUUGGCGAGUUUUCCAGGAAGGUUUUCUGAGGUACUACGGUAUCAAGGUUGAUCUUUUUGGUUAUACUUCUAUUCNCUUAGGUUGUUGGCUUAAUGACUCUAAAUGACCCGUCUUGAAACACG
rnacentral:rRNA from 1 species